UGGAGGAAGUUCAGUCCCGCUCUUUCCUCCUCGCUAAAGUCUCCUUGGCAGCCGCGCUCGCUGUUGGCAAGAGAUGCACCGAUCUGGAGCGGAGCAGCGCGCGAGAAAAAUUGCAAAGGGAAGCCAGCCCAGGCGCUUGGAGAGACUCGUGGCUUUGCCCUUUCCCAAUGACGUAGUGUCCUGAGCCCUUCCCCUCCCCCCCCUUUCCCCUUACAUCUUUGGAAGCCACAAUUAAGCAGCACCGCUGGGAUAAAACGCUCGGGCUGCCAGCGGACUAGGGCAUUGCGUCGAAAGAUGGCCAGGCUGCGGACUGCGUUCCUCCUCCCUGGAGCCCUCGUCCUCCUGCUUUCCCGCCUCCCGGCUUCGUGGCAAGGAGGGGUUCCAGGUGCUGGAGUAGGAGUUCCAGGAGUAGGAUACUACCCAGGAGCAGGUGGCAUUGGAGGCCUAGGUGGACUCGGGGGCACAGG